AAUUGGCUUGAGGCAGUCAAGCGUUCAUAGCGACGUUGCUUUUGAUCCUUUGAUGUCGGCUCUUCCUAUCAUACUGAAGCAGAAUUCAGUAAGCGUUGGAUGGUUCACUCGCUAAUAGGGAACAAGACCUGGGGUUUAGACCGUCAAAAGGCAGUUU
rnacentral:ncRNA from 1 species